GACGAACGCUGGCGGCGUGCUUAACACAUGCCAGUCGAACGGAAAGUCCCUGCUUUUGUGGGGUGCUCGAGUUGCGACCGGGUGAGUUACACGUGAGUACCCUGCCCCUGCCUUUGGGAUAACUUAAGGCAACUUGGGCUAAUACCGGAUAGGAGCUCUUGCUGCAUGGUGGGGGUUGGUUAGUUUCGGCGGUUGGUGAUGUACUCGCGGCGUAUCAGCUUGUUGGUGGGGUAGUGGCUUACCAAGGCUUUGACGGGUAGCCGGCCUGGGAGGGUGACCGGCCACAUUGGGACUGAGAUACGGCCCAGACUCCUACGGGAGGCAGCAGUGGGGAAGGUUGCACAAUGGGCGGAAGCCUGAUGCAGCAACGCCGCGUGCGGGAUGACGGCCUUCGGGUUGGAAACCGAUUUCGCCUGUGACGAAGCGUGAGUGACGGUAAUGGGUAAAGAAGCACCGGCUAACUACGUG
rnacentral:rRNA from 1 species